rnacentral:rRNA from 1 species
CGGGGCGGGUGAGUAAUGUCUGGGAAACUGCCUGAUGGAGGGGGAUAACUACUGGAAACGGUAGCUAAUACCGCAUAACGUCGCAAGACCAAAGAGGGGGACCUUCGGGCCUCUUGCCAUCGGAUGUGCCCAGAUGGGAUUAGCUAGUAGGUGGGGUAACGGCUCACCUAGGCGACGAUCCCUAGCUGGUCUGAGAGGAUGGCCAGCCACACUGGAACUGAGACACGGUCCAG